GCGAAGUACAGUACAUCGACUUCUUCUUCUCUCGUCGUGUGUUCUUGUUGAUCGGCAUCGCGCGUGACUGAGUGUGUUUCUGCUGGCACGAUGAGAGCUGUGGCCGCUGUGUUGUUCGUGUUGACCGCCGUGACGGUGGGUCAGACGGAGGGAGGCAUCGUUCGCGCCGUGAUCGAGGCGCCAAUGAGUGGAUGAGCCCUAAACUCCUACCAAGGGCUCAAGGUCUUCUUGAAUUGGCGCUUGGAAGGAUAUGGUUCAGUCGUUAGCAGGGUCGGUGCUAGCGGAACUCCCCGUCUCGUCUUCUAUGAUGAUGUAGAUCAGGAGUUGAAGGUUGAGGAGAUUACACGCCAAACCACCGAGGACGACAUCUCCAACUGGUUGGUCGGAGAAGGAUUCGAUCCAGAGCAGGCGAUGAAGGACGCCAAUGCUAUGCCCGAACAGGACGAGGAGCCCGAGGAGGAGAGGCAAGCUCGCGAGGCCGCCGGAGAGGAGGUUCCAGGCGACGAUGGUGGAAUGCCUGCCGUGGACGCCACGGGACAAGAUGACAGCACAGAACCAUACAUGUUCAAUGACGAGAUUCCGGACCAGGAACACGAGGAGUUGUAAUGUCACUCCGUCUUCUCUCAACCCGUAAUCAAAUUUUCGGCUAUAAUUUCAUUUUCUGUUGUUGUCCAAUCACUAUGUUGGUUUGGUUAAUUGUCCGGAGACUGUUGUGAUUUUCUAACCUCUCCGGUUUCUUUUUAUAUUAUUCUCUUUCUUCUACUUGCUGGUUGCUGCUGGAACAGCUGCAUGGUUGGCAUGGUCACCAUUCCAAUGACGUCCUGCGCCUCAAACAGUCACCGUACUGAUGGCCAGGAUUGAUGUAAUGCGAGUCCCGUUGCAGUGCCCCCCGGGCCGACCACCCGUGGGUGUGCUGUGCUGCGGUGGCUUGCUAUGGUGUAGCCGGCUGUGUGUGCUGUUCCAGUUCAUUGCGCUAUACCACACACUACACGCAGAGCUUGUCACACAUGCUUCUCUGCUGAUAGUGAUAAGCAUGGAA